GACGAACGCUGGCGGCGUGCUUAACACAUGCAAGUCGAACGGAAAGGCCCUGCUUUUGUGGGGUGCUCGAGUGGCGAACGGGUGAGUAACACGUGAGUAACCUGCCCUUGACUUUGGGAUAACUUCAGGAAACUGGGGCUAAUACCGGAUAGGAGCUCCUGCUGCAUGGCGGGGGUUGGAAAGUUUCGGCGGUUGGGGAUGGACUCGCGGCUUAUCAGCUUGUUGGUGGGGUAGUGGCUUACCAAGGCUUUGACGGGUAGCCGGCCUGAGAGGGUGACCGGCCACAUUGGGACUGAGAUACGGCCCAGACUCCUACGGGAGGCAGCAGUGGGGAAUAUUGCACAAUGGGCGGAAGCCUGAUGCAGCAACGCCGCGUGCGAGAUGACGGCCUUCGGGUUGUAAACCGCUUUCGCCUGUGACGAAGCGUGAGUGACGGUAAUGGGUAAAGAAGCACCGGCUAACUACGUG
rnacentral:rRNA from 1 species